GUAGCUCAGUUGGUUCAGAGCACUUGGUUUACACCCAAGGGGUCAGGGGUUCGAAUCCCUUC
rnacentral:tRNA from 1 species